rnacentral:rRNA from 1 species
UACGUAGGGGGCAAGCGUUGUUCGGAUUUACUGGGCGUAAAGGGCGCGUAGGCGGCGCGGUAAGUCACUUGUGAAAUCUCUGAGCUUAACUCAGAACGGCCAAGUGAUACUGCAGUGCUAGAGUGCAGAAGGGGCAAUCGGAAUUCUUGGUGUAGCGGUGAAAUGCGUAGAUAUCAAGAGGAACACCUGAGGUGAAGACGGGUUGCUAGGCUGACACUGACGCUGAGGCGCGAAAGCCAGGGGAGCAAACGGG